UGUGGGAGCGGGCUUGCUCGCGAUAGCGGUGUGUCAGCCGACAUAAAUGUUGAAUGUCAGACCAUCGCGAGCAAGCCCGCUCCCACA
rnacentral:misc_RNA from 1 species